UAUCGUCUAUUUGAUAGUACCUUACUACUUGGAUAACCGUGGUAAUUCUAGAGCUAAUACAUGCUGAAAACCCCGACUUCGGAAGGGAUGUAUUUAUUAGAUUAAAAGCCAACGCCCCUCGGGGCUCCCUGGUGAUUCAUGAUAACUGCUCGAAUCGCACGGCCUUGCGCCGGCGAUGGUUCAUUCAAAUUUCUGCCCUAUCAACUUUCGACGGCUGGGUCUUGGCCAGCCGUGGUGACAACGGGUAACGGAGGGUUAGGGCUCGACCCCGGAGAAGGAGCCUGAGAAACGGCUACUACAUCCAAGGAAGGCAGCAGGCGCGCAAAUUACCCAAUCCCGACGCGGGGAGGUAGUGACAAUAAAUACUGAUACAGGGCUCUUUUGGGUCUUGUAAUUGGAAUGAGUACAAUUUAAUUCCCUUAACGAGGAACAAUUGGAGGGCAAGUCUGGUGCCAGCAGCCGCGGUAAUUCCAGCUCCAAUAGCGUAUAUUAAAGUUGUUGCAGUUAAAAAGCUCGUAGUUGAACCUUGGGCCUGGCUGGCCGGUCCGCCUCACCGCGUGCACUGGUCCGGCCGGGCCUUUCCCUCUGGGGAGCCGCAUGCCCUUCGCUGGGCGUGUCGGGGAACCAGGACGUUUACUUUGAAAAAAUUAGAGUGUUCAAAGCAGGCUUAUGCUCGAAUACAUUAGCAUGGAAUAAUAGAAUAGGACGCGUGGUUCUAUUUUGUUGGUUUCUAGGACCGCCGUAAUGAUUAAUAGGGACAGUCGGGGGCAUCAGUAUUCAGUUGCGAGAGGUGAAAUUCUUG
rnacentral:rRNA from 1 species